UGGGACAUGGUGUAGCGGGAACAUAGCCUCCUAUUCUGGGGAUUUGGAUAGAGAUUGAGAGGCAGUCCAGGGUUUGAUCCCCUGUGUCUGAA